UUUAUUUUCGAAUCUAAGUUUUUUUACAUACUAAUCAUAAUUAUAUUUAAAAGAAAUUAAUUAUAAAUUAUACUUAACUAAUCAUUUUAAUUUGAAAUUGAAUCUUAGCACCAGAAGUGAAUGACAACAUAGCAAGAAAACAGAUAUCAAAACUGAUUUCCUAUUCAGAAGGAACUAUAGAUGACGCCGAUGAAAAAGAAGACUCUGAUUUUGAAGAAAGAGCAAAUAGUGAUGAUUCUAUGGAAGAUGAUGAAAAGUUAAAUGAUUUGGAUACAUGGCAAUAUUCUCCAACUUCUUUUCAUAAAAGCCUUCUUUCUUUAAAACCUGAAGAAGUACAAUUACCUCCUGCACCUAGAGGAAGGUGUUCAAAUUCACUUCAGG